GGGACUGUGUGAAUGUCCUCUACACUGUUAGACACAUAGCAGAGGGACUGUGUGAAUGUCCUCUCCCCUGUUAGACCCAUAGUAGAGGGACUGUGUGAAUGUCCACUCCCCUGUUAGACUCAUAGUAGAGGGACUGUGAGAAUGUCCACUCCCCUGUUAGACUCAUAGUAGAGGGACUGUGAGAAUGUCCACUCCCCUGUUAGACUCAUAGUAGAGGGACUGUGAGAAUGUCCACUCCCCUGUUAGACCCCAUAGUAGAGGGGACUGUGUGAAUGUCCUCUCCCCUGUUUGACUCCAUAGUAGAGGGACUGUGUGAAUGUCCACUCCCCUGUUAGACCCAUAGUAGAGGGGACUGUGUGAAUGUCCUCUCCCCUGUUUGACUGCAUAGAAGAGGAACUGUGUGAAUGUCCACUCCCCUGUUUGACUCCAUAGCAGAGGGACUGUGUGAAUGUCCACUCCCCUGUUAGACCCAUAGUAGAGGGGACUGUGUGAAUGUCCACUCCCCUGUUAGACCCAUAGUAGAGGGGACUGUGUGAAUGUCCUCUCUCCUGUUAGAAUCAUAGUAGAGGGACUUUGUGAAUGUCCUCUACCCUGUUAGACCCAUAGUAGAGGGACUGUGUGAAUGUCCUCUCCCCUGUUAGACCCCAUAGUAGAGGGGACUGUGUGAAUGUCCACUACCCUGUUAGACCCAUAGUAGAGGGGACUGUGUGAAUGUCCACUCCCCUGUUAGACUCAUAGUAGAGGGACUGUGUGAAUGUCCUCUCCCCUGUUAGACUCAUAGUAGAGGGACUGUGAGAAUGUCCACUCCCCUGUUAGACUCAUAGUAGAGGGACUGUGAGAAUGUCCACUCCCCUGUUAGACCCAAUAGUAGAGGGGACUGUGUGAAUGUCCACUCCCCUGUUAGACCCAUAGUAGAGGGGACUGUGUGAAUGUCCUCUCCCCUGUUUGAGUCCAUAGUAGAGGGACUGUGUGAAUGUCCACUCCCCUGUUAGAUCCAUAGUAGAGGGGACUGUGUGAAUGUCCUCUCCCCUGUUUGACUCCAUAGAAGAGGAACUGUGUGAAUGUCCACUCCCCUGUUUGACUCCAUAGUAGAGGGGACUGUGAGAAUGUCCACUCCCCUGUUAGACCCAUAGUAGAGGGGACUGUGUGAAUGUCCACUCCCCUGUUUGACUCCAUAGUAGAGGGGACUGUGUGAAUGUCCUCUCCCCUGUUAGACCCAUAGUAGAGGGGACUGUGUGAAUGUCCACUCCCCUGUUAGACCCAUAGUAGAGGGGACUGUGUGAAUGUCCUCUCUCCUGUUAGACUCAUAGUAGAGGGACUUUGUGAAUGUCCUCUACCCUGUUAGACCCAUAGUAGAGGGACUGUGUGAAUGUCCUCUCCCCUGUUAGACCCCAUAGUAGAGGGGACUGUGUGAAUGUCCACUACCCUGUUAGACCCAUAGUAGAGGGGACUGUGUGAAUGUCCACUCCCCUGUUAGACUCAUAGUAGAGGGACUGUGUGAAUGUCCUCUCCCCUGUUAGACUCAUAGUAGAGGGACUGUGAGAAUGUCCACUCCCCUGUUAGACUCAUAGUAGAGGGACUGUGAGAAUGUCCACUCCCCUGUUAGACCCAAUAGUAGAGGGGACUGUGUGAAUGUCCACUCCCCUGUUAGACCCAUAGUAGAGGGGACUGUGUGAAUGUCCUCUCCCCUGUUUGAGUCCAUAGUAGAGGGACUGUGUGAAUGUCCACUCCCCUGUUAGAUCCAUAGUAGAGGGGACUGUGUGAAUGUCCUCUCCCCUGUUUGACUCCAUAGAAGAGGAACUGUGUGAAUGUCCACUCCCCUGUUUGACUCCAUAGUAGAGGGGACUGUGAGAAUGUCCACUCCCCUGUUAGACCCAUAGUAGAGGGGACUGUGUGAAUGUCCACUCCCCUGUUUGACUCCAUAUAGAGGGGACUGUGUGAAUGUCCACUCUCCUGUUAGACCCAUAGUAGAGGGGACUGUGUGAAUGUCCACUCCCCUGUUAAACCCAU
rnacentral:lncRNA from 1 species